UACGUAGGGUGCAAGCGUUAUCCGGAAUCACUGGGCGUAAAGCGUGCGUAGGUGGCGCGUUAAGUGAGAUGUUAAAUCGUGUGGCUCAACCAUAUCGAUGCGUCUCAUACUGGCGUGCUAGAGGACAGCAGAGGCAAGUGGAAUUUGUAGUGUAGCAGUGAAAUGCGUAGAUAUUACAAGGAACACCAAUGGCGAAGGCAGCUUGCUGGGCUACUCCUGACACUGAGGUACGAAAGCGUGGGGAGCGAACAGG
rnacentral:rRNA from 1 species